CGAAUGGCUCAUUAAAACAGUUAUAGUUUAUUUGAUGGUCUUUACUACAUGGAUAACCGUGGUAAUUCUAUGGCUAAUACAUGCGCACAUGCCUCUUCCCCUGGAAGGGCAGUGUUUAUUAGAUACAGAACCAACCCACCUUCCGGUGGUCCUCAGGUGAUUCAUAGUAACCGAACGGRUCGCGUUGACUUCGGUCUGCGACGGAUCAUUCAAGUUUCUGACCUAUCAGCUUUCGACGGUACUGUAUUGGACUACCGUGGCA
rnacentral:rRNA from 1 species